rnacentral:rRNA from 1 species
UUUUAGUGGCGGACGGGUGAGUAACGCGUGGGCAACCUGCCUUACACCGGGGGAUAACACUUAGAAAUAGGUGCUAAUACCGCAUAACAGGAGAACAUGCAUGUGUUUUCCUUGAAAACCACGGUGGUGUAAGAUGGACCCGCGUCUGAUUAGCUUGUUGGCAGGGUAACGGCCUACCAAGGCGACGAUCAGUAGCCGGCCUGAGAGGGUGGACGGCCACAUUGGGACUGAGACACGGCCCAGACUCCUACGGAAGGCAGCAG